GAACUCAACACUAAGAUGCCGUGCAAUCAUGGAAACGAUUACUUAUAUAGUGACCGGGGACCAUUUGGCUGCCAUUUUUACUGCCGCGAACGUCCCCACGGUAUUGCCGCACGUCCUGACGGCAAUGCCUGUCUGGACCCAGCGACAGCAACUCAGGGCGGAUGUUGGAAUGGCGGCUGCUAUAUUGGACACCGGCGAACUUGAGUGGAGACGCGCGUAAUAACGACAUCUGUAUGCAAAGCACUGCCUUCCUCCAGGCUAUUAAAUAUAUA